GACGAACGCUGGCGGCGUGCUUAACACAUGCAAGUCGAACGGAAAGGCCCUGCUUUUGUGGGGUGCUCGAGUGGCGAACGGGUGAGUAACACGUGAGUAACCUGCCCUUGACUUUGGGAUAACUUCAGGAAACUGGGGCUAAUACCGGAUAGGAGCUCCUGCUGCAUGGUGGGGGUUGGAAAGUUUCGGCGGUUGGGGAUGGACUCGCGGCUUAUCAGCUUGUUGGUGGGGUAGUGGCUUACCAAGGCUUUGACGGGUAGCCGGCCUGAGAGGGUGACCGGCAACAUUGGGACUGAGAGACGGCCCAGACUCCUACGGGAGGCAGCAGUGGGGAAUAUUGCCCAAUGGGCGGAAGCCUGAUGCAGCAACGCCGGGUGCGGGAUGACGGCCUUCGGGUUGUAAACCGCUUUCGCCUGUGACGAAGCGUGAGUGACGGUAAUGGGUAAAGAAGCACCGGCUAACUACGUG
rnacentral:rRNA from 1 species